rnacentral:rRNA from 1 species
CCUACGGGGGGCUGCAGGGGGGAAUAUUGGACAAUGGGCGAAAGCCUGAUCCAGCAAUGCCGCGUGAGUGAUGAAGGCCUUAGGGUUGUAAAGCUCUUUUACCAGGGAUGAUAAUGACAGUACCUGGAGAAUAAGCUCCGGCUAACUCCGUGCCAGCAGACGCGGAAAUACGGAGGGAGCUAGCGUUGUGCGGAAUUACUGGGCGUAAAGCGCACGUAGGCGGUUUUUCAAGUCAGGGGUGAAAGCCCGGAGCUCCACUCCGGAAUUGCCCUUGAAACUGUAUGACUAGAAUCUUGGAGAGGUCAGUGGACUUCCGAGUGUAGCGGUGAAAUUCGUAGAUAUUCGGAAGAACACCAGUGGCGAAGGCGACUGACUGGACAAGUAUUGACGCUGAUGUGCGAAAGCGUGGGGAGCAAACAGGAUUAGAUACCCUAGUAGUC